GUUGGCCUGUGUGUUGUUGGUGUUCAGCACUAGGACCAGGUAUGUUUACCAGUGUAUGGAUGGCGUUCAGCAUAAGGGAUAGGUGUGUGCAGAU
rnacentral:pre_miRNA from 1 species